rnacentral:rRNA from 1 species
UACGUAGGGGGCGAGCGUUGUCCGGAGUUACUGGGCGUAAAGCGCUUGUAGGCGGUCCACCAAGUUUGGGGUGACAGUUGCCGACUUAAUCGGCAAAGUGCCUCAAAGACUGGCGGACUUGAGGGCCACAGAGGGACAUGGAACUCCAGGUGUAGUGGUGAAAUGCGUAGAUAUCGGGAGGAACACCAGUGGCGAAGGCGAUCAUCUGGGGCUGUUCUGACACUGAGGAGCGAAAGCUAGGGGAGCAAACGGG